rnacentral:rRNA from 1 species
CCUACGGGGGGCUGCAGUGGGGAAUAUUGGGCAAUGGGCGCAAGCCUGACCCAGCAACGCCGCGUGAAGGAAGAAGGCUUUCGGGUUGUAAACUUCUUUUAAGGGGGAAGAGCAGAAGACGGUACCCCUUGAAUAAGCCAUGGCUAACUACGGGCCAGCAGCGGGGGGAAUACGGAGGUGGCAGGCGGUGUCCGGAUUUCGGGGGGGUAAGGGGGGUGCAGGGGGGGAGACAAGUCAGACGUGAAAUCCACGGGCUCAACCCGUGAACUGCAUUUGAAACUGUUUCCCUUGAGUGUCGGAGAGGUGAUCGGAAUUCCUGGUGUAGCGGUGAAAUGCGUAGAUAUAAGGAAGAACACCAGUGGCGAAGGCGGAUUACUGGACGAUAACUGACGGUGAGGCGCGAAAGCGUGGGGAGCAAACAGGAUUAGAUACCCUAGUAGUC